rnacentral:rRNA from 1 species
UACGUAGGGGGCGAGCGUUGUCCGGAUUUAUUGGGCGUAAAGAGCUCGUAGGCGGCUUGUCACGUCGGGUGUGAAAGACCGGGGCUUAACUCCGGUUCUGCAUUCGAUACGGGCUAGCUAGAGUGUGGUAGGGGAGAUCGGAAUUCUUGGUGUAGCGGUGAAAUGCGUAGAUAUCAAGAGGAACACCUGAGGUGAAGACGGGUUGCUGGGCUGAUACUGACGCUGAGGCGCGAAAGCUAGGGUAGCAAACGGG